rnacentral:rRNA from 1 species
UGCAGUCGACGAAUCCUUCGGGGUUUAGUGGCGGACGGGUGAGUAACGCGUGAGAAUCUGGCUUCAGGUCUGGGACAACCACUGGAAACGGUGGCUAAUACCGGAUGUGCCGAGAGGUGAAAGGUUAACUGCCUGAAGAUGAGCUCGCGUCUGAUUAGCUAGUUGGUAGUGUAAUGGACAACCAAGGCGACGAUCAGUAGCUGGUCUGAGAGGACGAUCAGCCACACUGGGACUGAGACACGGCCCAGACUCCUACGGGAGGCAGCAGUGGGGAAUUUUCCGCAAUGGGCGAAAGCCUGACGGAGCAAUACCGCGUGAGGGAGGAAGGCUCUUGGGUCGUAAACCUCUUUUCUCAGGGAAGAACACAAUGACGGUACCUGAGGAACAAGCAUCGGCUAACUCCGUGCCAGCAGCCGCGGUAAUACGGAGGAUGCAAGCGUUAUCCGGAAUGAUUGGGCGUAAAGCGUCCGCAGGUGGCGAAGUAAGUCUGCUGUUAAAGCGUCUAGCUCAACUAGAUAAGAGCAGUGGAAACUACUUACGCUAGAGUGCGUUCGGGGCAGAGGGAAUUCCUGGUGUAGCGGUGAAAUGCGUAGAGAUCAGGAGACACCAGUGACGAAGCGCUCUGCUAGGCGCAACUGACACUGAGGACGAAAGCUAGGGAGCGAAUGGAUAAAUACCCAGUAGUCUAGCCGUAACGAUGGAUACAUAGGC